CACCAUUACUGAAAUCAAAGGCAGGAUGUGGUGGAAGGAGUUUUUCUUCAGAUUAAUUUGCAUGUAUUUAAGUGUAAGCAAUAACGCUAUUUAUUAUAUGUGAAGUUUAACCUUUACUUAAAACUGAGUGUGAUCUUUACCUCCCAUGCAGAAAUGGAAGCUGGAAAAAUGGCAUCUUCAUCAAAAAGCACAAACUUGUCAUCACCCUCAAGCAAAGGGAGAAUGAGACAGAAGUAAUAUCACCUUUAACAGUAUUCUCUCACAGCUCAAACGGAAGUUUCUCAAAGGCUGGCUGGCAGAUUUGUUUUUGUUUGGAGAGGAACACAGUUUGAACGACGCAUUAGGCCAUUCUUGUCUUUAGCUAGAAGGUAAGGAGUGGUGAAGGGCAUGGAGUGUGUCCUCUGACUCUGGCAUGAAAAAAAAAUGUGCAUCUCCAGAGGUGGACAGCAAAUGGAUCAGCUACACUGCCGGUUCAACAGAACAAGAAAAUCAUAAUCUUCAGGUGGCUUAUCUUCAUAUGAACACUUCGAACAUGAAAUCAGUGCGUUGGUAUUUUGUGCUGAUUUUUGAGAGGGUACUGAGUGUCAACAUCUGGCACCGAGUUCAUCAAGAGUCAUGUGUUCAGCAUCUCUGAAAUGCUAGGCACACAAUUACAAGAUAAAGUUUGAGCUACAUCUCUUGAAGGCAUUAUUUCUCAAAAACAGAAAGAUAAGAUAGCCAAG
rnacentral:lncRNA from 1 species